GACGAACGCUGGCGGCGUGCCUAAUACAUGCAAGUAGAACACUGAAGAGAGGAGCUUACUCUUCUUGGAUGAGUUGCGAACGGGUGAGUAACGCGUAGGUAACCUGCCUUGUAGCGGGGGAUAACUAUUGGAAACGAUAGCUAAUACCGCAUAACAAUGGAUGACACAUGUCAUUUAUUUGAAAGGGGCAAUUGCUCCACUACAAGAUGGACCUGCGUUGUAUUAGCUAGUAGGUGAGGUAAUGGCUCACCUAGGCGACGAUACAUAGCCGACCUGAGAGGGUGGUCGGGCACACUGGGACUGAGACACGGCCCAGACUCCUACGGGAGGCAGCAGUAGGGAAUCUGCGGCAAUGGGGGCAACCCUGACCGAGCAAAGCCGCGUGAGUGAAGAAGGUUUUCGGAUCGUAAAGCUCUGUUGUAAGUCAAGAACGGGUGUGAGAGUGGAAAGUUCACACUGUAACGGUAGCUUAACAGAAAGGGACGGCUAACUACGUG
rnacentral:rRNA from 1 species